rnacentral:misc_RNA from 1 species
AAGUCGUAACAAGGUUUCCGUAGGUGAACCUGCGGAAGGAUCAUUAUCACAAAAUGAUUUUUAAGGUCUCUCUUAAUCCAGAGCCUUAAACCUCUUCUCUUAAACCAAUUUAAUUCAAAUGUGAAACUGUUUCAUUUUGUUUGUUUUUUUUUUUGACGGAUGAUUGGCUCUGGCUUUGUCGGAGCCUUUCAGAAACCAAAAAAAAAAAAAAAACAUUAUUCUUUUAACCAAUUGAACCCUUUUCUAAUUUAUUGUUAUUUUAUUUCUAUUUUAGUUCUGAAAUCUUAUUCUUCUAUUAUCAAUAGCAAAUAUUGAUGGUACUGGAUAAGUUAACACUACGAAACAAUAUAUAAUAAAACAACUCUUAGCAACGGAUAUCUUGGUUCUC